rnacentral:lncRNA from 1 species
GGCCUCCAUCUUGAAAACGGAAAAUAAAAACAGCAGACCUAUGAAGGUCGAAGGGGAAGAAAAGCUGUAUCGAUUGUUGAGAUCUGGCGACUUGUUUAAAUUUCAUCAGCCUCACUUCUAUGAACUCUCAGGCCUCACGUGUACCAGCUCUCUGCUCUCCUUUGCCUUGGGACGUUCCAUCCCUGGAAGUUUCCCUGCCCACAUCUUUGUAGAGAGUCCAUUCUCCAAGCUUCAGUGUGUCAUCUGUGAGGACCGUGACCCACCUGGUACAUCGCCUCAGGGCAUUCAUUUCAGGCUCCUUCUAAAUGGCCAAGUACACUCAUGGCCUUGAAUCUUCAUCCACUCAGAGCUCCAUGUGUAUUCUUCCAAGCCAUUGCUCUAUACCCGGAACCGCCUUUUCUUGAACACACCACAGGAUACCUCACCCAUCUGUUCUGUGAAGCAUUCCAAUGACAAUAACCACCUACCAUUUUGUGCUAUUAUACAGUUAUCUCCUUCCCCUUCAUCCUGUUGGUAUUGUGUAUAUUACUUAAGAUGAGCACUCUAGUUCUUUAUUUGCUUGUAAAUUAUAAGUGGUGGUGUGGUUUAUAAACUCAUGAAAAUUAUAUUUCACUUGGGAUGAAACUGGUAGAACCAUUUAUAAUAACAUCAUGUUGUUAUGUGGUAUAUAUAUUAUAUAUAGGUAUAUAUAUACACCAAUAUGAAGAGUGAAUUACAUUGUAGGUAGGGUAAUAGAUUAGCUCAAUUGUUUAGUAUAACGUCAAGCUAUUUGUGGUUCAGGUGUGAGCCCCAUAGGACUAGUUACCUUACUAUUUGCUAUAGUUGAAAACUAUAGCUCUACAAUAAGCGGCUGUUUUAAGAUGAAGAUGGUGUUACACGUAGUAUGGCAGAGACAGAGUGAUAUACUCUAAGGAACAUUGUUCAGCUAAUCAGACCUGGGUUCAAAUUCCAUCACCACUGUUUACUUGCUGUGUGCUUCCAAACAAACCCUGUAAAUCUGUUUUCUAAAAUAAAAA